rnacentral:rRNA from 1 species
UACGGGGGGAGCAAGCGUUGUUCGGAUUUACUGGGCGUAAAGGGCGCGUAGGCGGUAGCACAAGUCAGUUGUGAAAUCUCCGGGCUUAACUCGGAAAGGUCAACUGAUACUGUGCGACUAGAGUGCAGAAGGGGCAACUGGAAUUCUCGGUGUAGCGGUGAAAUGCGUAGAUAUCGAGAGGAACACCGGUGGCGAAGGCGGUUCUCUGGGCAUGUCCUGACGCUGAGGAGCGAAAGUGUGGGGAGCGAACAGG